GCCCCUGGCGUGGGGUGUCGAGUCGCCGUGUGGGCGGCUGUGAAAACGCCCCCUCCGCGGGGCGUACA
rnacentral:snoRNA from 23 species